rnacentral:lncRNA from 1 species
GGUGCCCUGUCACUAUUGUUUCUGUGGUUAAACUGGUCUUCUUUGGGUUCUGCAGCUUCACCAUGCUUCUCUCAGCUUUCUGACAACUGUAUAAGCUUUGGUGUUUGCCUGGAAUACUCUUCUCUUUGCUCUUUGUCCUAAUUCUCUUUCAAGUAUCAGUUCAUAGACUGCCACUAUCCUUAUUUUAUAUUCAUAAUGUAC